UUCUCAAAAGUGCUUUUCAAAUAAGUGCUUUUGGAGGGAAGCUAUUUUUUUCUGCUACUCAAAAGCACUUUUUUACCCUCUAAAAACUUGGCAAGCACUUCAACUUUGGAAAAAAAAAGUGCUUUUGGCUUGGAGAAGCUUGGCCAAACAGGCUAUAAAGUGGGACUCUAUUUGGAGCCUCCCUAGUUUAUGUUCCUCUUUUCAUAACCUCUUUUCUACUAGGUUCUCUGUUUAUUUCUUCUUUGCAAGUUAAAGCACUGCUCUGCUGUUUCACUGGUUAAUCCGUUGUCGCAAAUGUGGGAAAUAGUUUCUUAUUAUUUCAAAAGUUUAUCUUUCUCUUCGGGGCUACAUUUUGAAGUUAAUUUUCUUUUGAUUGAAAUUUCUACAAUAGAUCUUUUCCAUUCAACCUGUCUUUUUUGGGCGAGGCAGAAGAGAUAAAAGGUUGACUCUUCAGCAGAACAGUUUACCUGCAACUUUUUCGGUGGCAUAUUUAUGGCAUAAUUCUAAGCAACAAAAAUUGAUGCUUGCUUCACAAAAAAUCCACUCGGUGCGGCACUCUAAAUGUGACCAGGCAUUUUUGAGCUUUUGCUAUGUAGUAUGUUGCUUUUCAGAGGCUGCUGGUGCUAGGGCUUGUAGCUACUGGUAUGAUGUGUUUAUUCUAAUCUGUGAUACUGUAAGAGUAACAAGCAUGUCAAUUAGCCAUUAGCUACUGUUUCUUUAGGUGUAAUUCCCCACUGUCCAACCAGUUUCCACUGCGGUAUCUAGUUUUUACCCUUGUUCACUAUUGUCGCGGAGCAUUUUAGAUGAUAGAGUAGAGCUACUUAUUCUCAUGCGUGGUUAGAUUGACUUAAUAAUAAUAACAUUUAAAGAAAAGGGAAUACUCGGAACACAACUUCUGGUAUGAAGUUAGGAUUUUGGUUGGUUCCUUCAUGAAAAUUUGGCGGUCCCAGGAUAUGUUCUCAAAGCUGUAGAGAUGUUUUUGCGAUGAUAUGGAGUUGAAAUAAGACUUGCCUUUUCUUAUAGGUUUCUGGUUCAUUGCAGGUAUGAUUAUAGGAAAUAUAUGAGAUCCAUCUAUCCUUGGUCACAUGAUGUAGUUGACUAUAAAUUAAAGAGAUGUUUAAAUUAAGGUUCACUUUCGUUGUUCCAUUUUAAAUUUGACUCAAAUUGAUUACCUGAUAUCAGUGUCCUUUGACCGCAGGAAGAUUCAAACUCCAUGGAUUGCCAAUGAUAUUAUAUUACUAUAAUAACUAGCUUCCGAUGAAAAUAAAUUACAAAUUGCUUAGGUGUAUUUUAUAAUAGUUGCACAUCAUCUAGGUUCUAUGGACGCCAAGAACUAGUUUGUAGCAGAUGCAUGUAUCCAAAUCCUUUGCGUCCGUGUUGAUGCGAUUAGAGUUUAGAAUUCACUGGUGUUGUUAAGGCAUCGUUUGAUUCCUCAUAUGGGGGUUUGAAUCUAGAUUGUUCAGAUUUCAGCACGCUUAAGUGCAUGUUUUUCUUUUAUAAUCAUUUUUCUGAAUUCCGGUUCAUAAAUGAUGUACAGAGUUUUGAAAUUACUAAGACAUUGAUCACUAUAAAUAUUCCGUUCAUAAAUGUUAUACAAAGUUUUGAAAUUAUUAA